rnacentral:rRNA from 1 species
CAGCCGCCGCGGGAAAACGGAGGGUGCAAGCGUUAUCCGGAUUUAUUGGGUUUAAAGGGUCCGUAGGCGGAUCUGUAAGUCAGUGGUGAAAUCUCACAGCUUAACUGUGAAACUGCCAUUGAUACUGCAGGUCUUGAGUAAAUUUGAAGUGGCUGGAAUAAGUAGUGUAGCGGUGAAAUGCAUAGAUAUUACUUAGAACACCAAUUGCGAAGGCAGGUCACUAAGAUUUAACUGACGCUGAUGGACGAAAGCGUGGGGAGCGAACAGGAUUAGAUACCCGGGUAGUCCCUGUCUCUUAUAC